AAUACGUUCCCGGGCCUUGUACACACCGCCCGUCAAGCGAUGGAAGCUGGGGGUACCUGAAACUCUUGCCUAGCAAGAUCUAAGGUAAAACCGGUGACUGGCGCU
rnacentral:rRNA from 1 species